rnacentral:lncRNA from 1 species
AACACAUUUAUUAAAUCAGAUUAUAGCAGAUUUUACAGUGCAGAGUGAUGUCAUGCACAUGGUUGCAGACUGCUACACCAUUCUUUAUUAUGAAAUUAAAAUCCUGUAAGAAAUCCCCUUUUUGCCGGAUGUGUCUGUAAUCUGAUUUACAUUUUCUUUUUUACUGCUAUAAUCAGAAUAUAUAUACGCAAACACACACACACAUAUGCAUGUAGUCAUCAUGUUAUAUUAAAGUACUUCCUCCUCUCUCCAGGUGAACAGUGGGACUUGUCUUCAGCUUCAGGUGCAACAGCUCUGACCUGUAUGGUGAUCAGACCCAGAGAGGAGAGACACCUGGUCCAACAAGGUGACGGACGAGCAGCUGAGACGAAUAAGACGAGCCGCCACAGGACCUGGAGCAGGAAAACUGAGUAUCGUCUUCUGAUGAAACUCCUUCAGGUCGUGCAGUUGUUUGUUGGCUCUGGUUUCACCUGCUCAGACAGUGAGCACUGUUGUCUUUGCUGGUGAUUUACAUAAUAAAACCUUUUUUGAAUUACACUCUAUUGUGGUUUUUAUAGAUUUUUAAAGAACGUGUUGAGUCUUUUGAUGGAGUCCAAUGUCUCCUCUCAGUGGCAUUUUCAAAGCUUUAACUAUAUUCGAUGUAUACAUUUUCUUUCUGUAAUGGAGAGCAGGGCUUCCAUUACCUUCAGUAUCUGUUUCUAUUCUGGAAAUGACUGCUAUAGAAACCAUGUGUUGUUUAAUGUCAGAGUAAGUUAGCCUCUCUCCAUCUCUUAUCACAUGAAUGAAGCUAACAGCAGCUGUGAGAGUUUAUAACGUUUUACCAGCAGCUGAUAUGAAAUAUACCUGCAGUGCUGCCUGUGAUGUCACCAAGCAGACAGAUAAAAGCUCAUGUUGAGCAGCUACAGUAGUUUAUAUGAUCAUUAUGCAGCCUCAUUGUUACCUGCACUUUAAAAUCAUAUUACUGGUCUGUAAAGCACUAAAUGUUCUCAGGACUGAACACAUUUGGUUUACUUGUACGGGGAUCGGGAGGGUUAUUUAAAAUGUUUGUUCUGAUACAGUUACUUAUUUAAAAAUAGUCAGUAAUGUAAUUGAAGUAAAACUGUCUACUCAUCUAAUUCAUAACUGUUCACUGUGUAUUUCAAAUAAGUACAUUAAGACAUAAAACACAACACAUAAGCACAAACAAGUCAAAUAAGACAACCACUACUCCAGACCAUGGCAGGUUGAUAGCAUAUUAAUAUAGCACCCUGAUAAUUUGUUUAUAUGGGUUUAUAUAAUUACUUUAUUUACUUCA